AACCAUAGAAACCUGCGGAGUACCUGCGGAGGGAUCAUUAUAGUAUAUGGAAUCUCCAUUCUAUAAACCCACUCUGCGUAUCCUGUAACUGUUGCUUCCAUGGGACUUGGUUCCGCCACACCGGCUUCACGGCUGGUGAGCGCCCAUGGAAGGAGAAACAAAACUCUUCUUUGAAAUGUAGUCAGUCUGAACAAGUUUUUAUAAACGUUAAAACUUUUAACAAUGGAUCUCAGAUCGGAA
rnacentral:misc_RNA from 1 species